CCCUUUGGCCCAUCGGUUGGAGAUGGUAAGAAAUAUGGCAUGACACUGUUCAUUAAAAUAUUAAUUUCUUGGAGUACUAUAGAGUUAAAACGAGCUCUCUAACCCUUCUUCAGUUGAAGAUGACCUUAAAUAAAAAAGCAGAUUAGAUAAAGGUACAACAUUAAGUCCUAAUUAGUAAACACCCUCCGGCAAACCCUAAUCUGUAAUUCUUUCAGGUUCUUCUUGUCGAAAAGCUACCUAAAAUUAAGGCCAAAGUUAUUGAUCCAUGAAAUCAAGUACUCAUUGUAUCCACCUUUUACCUUUCCUAACUAAUUAUCCUUUGCGUGUUCCAAAAAAAAAAAAAAAAAAAAAACUAAUUAUGCUUUGCACAUGUUUAGAUCUCUAAUGGAAGGAAAAGAAAUUUAUUAGGGACUUUCCUGCUAAGUGGUAAGUUUAGUAUGACAAGCGUUGUUCAGUUAAAACGUAUCAUGUACGACAAUCUUUUACUUAUAACUAGAAUUCUAUGCACAAGACAAAUUUUUAAAAGGAAAACUAAUGAAAAUGGCUUGAAAAUUUUGAGUUUUAAUGAUAAGGACAAAAUAAAGAGUAAAAUGAAUAGUACCAGGAUUGACUUUUUAGUGUAAAAAUGUGGUUUUUCGUUAAAGUGA
rnacentral:lncRNA from 1 species